ACCUGAGGCACGGUGGUGCCUGGUGGGAACUACGAGAAAGACCGAGCUGGGGUUGGUUGGAAAGCCAACGUGUGCGACGACGACCAGCUGCUGUGCCAGAACGGAGGCACCUGCCUGCAGAACCAGCGCUGCGCCUGCCCGCGCGGCUACACCGGCGUGCGCUGCGAGCAGCCCCGCUGCGACCCCGCCGACGAUGACGGCGGUCUGGACUGCGACCGCGCACCCGGGGCCGCCCCGCGCCCCGCCACCCUGCUCGGCUGCCUGCUGCUGCUGGGGCUGGCCGCCCGCCUGGGCCGCUGAGCCCCGCCCGGAGGACGCUCCCUGCACCCGGAGGCCGGGGGUCCCGGGGUCCCGGGGC
rnacentral:sRNA from 1 species